rnacentral:rRNA from 1 species
AGCGAACGCUGGCGGCAGGCCUAACACAUGCAAGUCGAGCGCGUGUAGCAAUACACGAGCGGCAGACGGGAGAGUAACACGUGGGAACGUACCCUUCGGUUCGGAAUAACCCAGGGAAACUUGGACUAAUACCGGAUACGUCCGAAAGGAGAAAGAUUUAUCGCCGAAGGAUCGGCCCGCGGCUGAUUAGCUAGUUGGUGAGGUAACGGCUCACCAAGGCUACGAUCGGUAGCUGGUCUGAGAGGAUGAUCAGCCUCACUGGGACUGAGACACGGCCCAGACUCCUACGGGAGGCAGGAGUGGGGAAUAUUGGACAAUGGGCGCAAGCCUGACCCAGCCAUGCCGCGUGGGUGAUGAAGGCCCUAGGGUUGUAAAGCCCUUUCGGCAGGGAAGAUAAUGACGGUACCCGCAGAAGAAGCCCCGGCUAACUUCGUGCCAGCCGCCGCGGUAACAC